rnacentral:rRNA from 1 species
UACGUAGGAUGCAAGCGUUGUCCGGAAUUAUUGGGCGUAAAGAGCUCGUAGGCGGUUUGUCGCGUCUGCUGUGAAAACUCGGGGCUUAACCCCGGGCCUGCAGUGGGUACGGGCAGACUAGAGUGCGGUAGGGGAGACUGGAAUUCCUGGUGUAGCGGUGAAAUGCGCAGAUAUCAGGAGGAACACCGGUGGCGAAGGCGGGUCUCUGGGCCGUAACUGACGCUGAGGAGCGAAAGCGUGGGGAGCGAACAGG